rnacentral:lncRNA from 1 species
GUUCUUGUUCAUAAACUCUAGCCAACAUAUUCUUUGUUACCAUUUCGUUGGUCUUCACCAUACUUAGCUUGAUAUGAACAAGGGCCAACGAAUCCUUCAAAUGAACUACUGGCGAAAUUCAUCACAUUGGGAUACACUCGCCUCCGAACCGGGGAAAACCCUCACCUAGGGCCGAAGCCCGUGAACACUCACAUGAAGGCACGACAGUGCGGCAAGGCAAAAUGGAGCACAUUAGUGAUGUAUGUAGCUGUACAAAUAGAAAGGUGAUUUAAAGAAAAUAAACUUAGAUGUAUACAAAAAAACUAGUGUCUUAUAAAUGGAAAAAAUUCAACCCUUAGUAACCAUUUUUUAGAUACUAACAUUCUUGUAUAUAAAUGAAUUUUGUUGUAUAAAGUUAUUAUAUACAAAGGUUU